AUUGCUGUGGCCCAGGGCCACGAUAAACCUUAAUCAUCCUCCGUGCUCCGUCUUCUAUGAUCAACAGAGGGGAAAUUGUUCCAUUCAGCAAAAGGAAGAAAGGUGGCCGUUGUGCAUACCAUGAAAGAAGCCCUGCGACUCUUUGAAAUGUUUCAUGACAGUGCAGUGGGUGGACAUCUUGGAAUACUCAAAACGAGGAACGUGCUGACAUCAAAACACUAUUGGCCAGGGAUGACAAAAGACAUUACCAAUUGGGUUGCACAAUGCCUGACUUGCCAGAAACAGGGAAAGCAAUCAAAUCUGGAUACCACCUUGAAAAGCAUAAAGGUCACGCGGAUCUGGGAAUUGUUGGGAAUGGAUUUAAUAGGACCAUUACCAACAACAAAGGAUGGAUACAAGUAUAUACUGACAGUCAUAGAUUAUCUGUCAAGAUGGGUG